AGUGAACGCUGGCGGUAGGCCUAACACAUGCAAGUCGAACGGCAGCACAGUAAGAGUUUGCUCUUACGGGUGGCGAGUGGCGGACGGGUGAGGAAUACAUCGGAAUCUACUUUUUCGUGGGGGAUAACGUAGGGAAACUUACGCUACUACCGCAUACGACCUACGGGUGAAAGCAGGGGAUCUUCGGACCUUGCGCGAUUGAAUGAGCCGAUGUCGGAUUAGCUAGUUGGCGGGGUAAAGGCCCACCAAGGCGACGAUCCGUAGCUGGUCUGAGAGGAUGAUCAGCCACACUGGAACUGAGACACGGUCCAGACUCCUACGGGAGGCAGCAGUGGGGAAUAUUGGACAAUGGGCGCAAGCCUGAUCCAGCCAUACCGCGUGGGUGAAGAAGGCCUUCGGGUUGUAAAGCCCUUUUGUUGGGAAAGAAAAGCAGCAGGUUAAUACCCCGCUGUUCUGACGGUACCCAAAGAAUAAGCACCGGCUAACUUCGUG
rnacentral:rRNA from 1 species